rnacentral:rRNA from 1 species
CCUACGGGCGGCAGCAGUAAGGAAUAUUGGACAAUGCCCGCAAGGGUGAUCCAGCCAUGCCGCGUGCAGGAAGACGGCCCUAUGGGUUGUAAACUGCUUUUACACCGGAGAAAACCUCCCCUCGUGUGGGGGGCUGAUAGUAUGGUGAGAAUAAGCAUCGGCUAACUUCGUGCCAGCAGCCGCGGUAAGACGAAGGAUGCAAGCGUUAUCCGGAUUCAUUGGGUUUAAAGGGAGCGUAGGUGGCCUUAUAAGUCAGUGGUGAAAUCUCUGGGCUUAACCCAGAAAUUGCCAUUGAUACUGUAGGGCUUGAGUACAGUUGCUGUGGGCGGAAUAUGACAUGUAGUGGUGAAAUACAUAGAGAUGUCAUAGAACACCGAUUGCGAAGGCAGCUCACAAAACUGUAACUGACACUGAGGCUCGAAAGUGCGGGGAUCAAACAGGAUUAGAUACCCUGGUAGUC